rnacentral:rRNA from 1 species
UUUAUUGGAGAGUUUGAUCCUGGCUCAGGAUGAACGCUGGCGGCGUGCCUAAUACAUGCAAGUCGAGCGAACAGAUGAGGAGCUUGCUCCUCUGACGUUAGCGGCGGACGGGUGAGUAACACGUGGAUAACCUACCUAUAAGACUGGGAUAACUUCGGGAAACCGGAGCUAAUACCGGAUAAUAUAUUGAACCGCAUGGUUCAAUAGUGAAAGACGGUUUUGCUGUCCCUUAUAGAUGGAUCCGCGCCGCAUUAGCUAGUUGGUAAGGUAACGGCUUACCAAGGCAACGAUGCGUAGCCGACCUGAGAGGGUGAUCGGCCACACUGGAACUGAGACACGGUCCAGACUCCUACGGGAGGCAGCAGUAGGGAAUCUUCCGCAAUGGGCGAAAGCCUGACGGAGCAACGCCGCGUGAGUGAUGAAGGUCUUCGGAUCGUAAAACUCUGUUAUUAGGGAAGAAUAAAUGUGUAAGUAACUAUGCACGUCUUGACGGUAC